UACAGUGGUCCCGAGCGUUGUUCGGAUUCAUUGGGCGUAAAGGGUGCGUAGGUGGCGCUGUAAGUGGGGUGUGAAAUCCCGGGGCUUAACUCCGGAACUGCAUUCCAUACUGCGGUGCUUGAGGACUGGAGAGGAGACUGGAAUUUACGGUGUAGCAGUGAAAUGCGUAGAGAUCGUAAGGAAGACCAGUGGCGAAGGCGGGUCUCUGGACAGUUCCUGACACUGAGGCACGAAGGCCAGGGGAGCAAACGGG
rnacentral:rRNA from 1 species